GCUCCCGCGGCCCGAAUGAGGUUUCCGGUACCAAAGGUCGCAGGUUCGAUUCCUGUCGGGGGCACCA
rnacentral:tRNA from 1 species